rnacentral:tRNA from 2 species
GGCCCAUUCGUCUAUUGGUUAGGACGUCAGGUUUUCAUCCUGGAAAGAGGGGUUCGAUUCCCCUAUGGGCUAUCA